rnacentral:tRNA from 1 species
GUGUGUAUAGCUCAGUAGUUAGAGCAUCCCUCUGGAAUGAGGUGGUAAUGGGUUUGAAUCCCAUUGCACACA